rnacentral:lncRNA from 1 species
GUUGCUGAGCUCCUCGUUUUUGCUGAGACUGACUCUGAAAUUGUGAUCUUCCUGCCUCAGCCUCCUGAGCCACUGGGAUUACAGAUGUGGGCCACUGCACACAGGUUGAAUUUCAGUAGCAUAGUUUUUUUUUUUUUCCCAGAAAAAUCUCUUUAAUUUUGGGAUACGUUCCAAGAUGUUAUAUGGAUUAGAUGCUACUGUAAGUGAAAUUAUCAUAAAUGUAAAUAUAUUAUUUGUUGAUGGUAGUUAGAGGGAACACAAUUGAACUUUGAGUACUGACCCCAUAUUUAGCAACAAAGGUGAAACCUGAAAAAUUUUCCAUGGUUUCUUUCUGCCUCUUUUUUGUACUGCCAUAAUGGUGUGCAUGCAGGUCCUAGCUGAUGCUCUCAAGAGCGUUCACAGAGCUGAAAAGAGGGGGACGUCAAGUCCUUAUUAGGCCACGCUCCAGAGUCAUCUUGGGUUUCUGACUGUGAUGAGGAAGCGUGGUUACAUUGGCAAAUUGGAAACCACUGAUGAUCACAGAGCUGGGAAAAUGGCUGUGAACCUUACACAUAGGUGGAACAAGCGAGGAGUGAUCAGCCCCAGAGUUGAUGUGCAGCUCAAAGACCUAGAAAAGUGGCAGAGUCACCUGUUCCCUUUUUUUUUUUUUUUUGGUACCUGGGAUUGAAUUCAGGGGCACUCAACCACUGAGCCUCAUCCCCAGCCCUAUGUUGUAUUUUAUUUAGAGACAGGGUCUCACUGAGUUACUUAGGGCCUUGCUAAGUUGCUGAGGUUGGCUUUGAAUUUGGGAUCCUCCUGCCUCAGCCUCCCAAGCUGCUGGGAGUGUGUGCCAGCCAUACCCGGGUCACCUGCUCCCAUUUUGUCAGUUCAGGUUCAUCCUAUUGACACCCUCAGCUGGCAUCCUGAACCAUGAAAACAUAGGAGGGAUAAUCCUGAGAUCCCUUUUCCAGGGAUGUAAAACAUACAUACAAAUUAAAUGCCUCAAUGAAGAUAAAUGCUUCAAAGUAGGUUCCAGUGGUUUUGGAAUCUGCUUUUCUAUGUUGACAGUCCUGUUAUCUGUGAAUAAUGAAGGUUUUGUUUUUCUUUUUAGUUGUCAUGCUUUUUCUUGUCUUACUGCAUCAGCCAGGACCUCCCAUACUCUGCAUAUUUUGGACAUUUUUUGCAUCAUCUCUGACUUUAAAGAUAUCCAUUUGUUGUUUGAAAAGAUUUGACUUAUGGAUUGGGUUCACUAUAUCUUUUUUUUUCCCCCCCAGUACUGGGGUCUGAACCCAUGCCUGUAAUCUGAGGGACUUGGGAGGCUGAGGCAGAAUGAU